rnacentral:rRNA from 1 species
AAAAACAUGGCUUUUUGUUAAAAAUUUAAAGUCUGGCCUGCUCAAUGAAUUUUAAAUAGCCGCAGUAUAUUAACUGUGCCAAGGUAGCAUAAUCAUUAGUUUUUUAAUUGAAAGCUGGAAUGAAAGGUUGAAUGAGAAAAUAACUGUCUCUAUUAAAUUUAUAUGGAAUUUUAUUUUUAAGUAAAAAAGCUUAAAUGAUAGUAAAAGACGAGAAGACCCUAUAGAGUUUGAUAUUUAUAAAUAAUAUUUCUUUAAGUAUUUUAAAAUUUAUUUUAUUAUAAUAUUUAGUUGGGGUGAUUAGAAAAUUAAAUAAACUUUUCUUGUUUAAAAACAUUUAUUUAUGAAAAAAUGAUCCUUUAAUUAAGAUUAUAAGAUAAAAUUACCUUAGGGAUAACAGCGUAAUUUUUUUUGAGAGUUCUUAUCGAAAAAAAAGAUUGCGACCUCGAUGUUGGAUUAAAAUAAAUUUUUGGUGUAGAAGCUAAAUUAAUUAGGUCUGUUCGACCUUUAAAAUUUUACUUGAUCUGAGUU